rnacentral:pre_miRNA from 1 species
CACCCGCAGGCUGGCCGGCCCCCAGCUGGACUGGGCGAGUAUCUCUUCAAAAGACUCACCCUCAAGCAGGACUAGGAGC